CGUGACGUCAUCCGCGGGCGCUGGGCGACGGCGGCCAAUCGGAGCGUGCGGUGACGUAACCGGCAACCAAUGGGCGGAGGACGACGCGAUUACGUCACGUCGCAGGGCCCUAGUAACCAAGAUGGCGGCGGGAACGGCGACGGCGGUUGUGAGGAACAAGAAGAAUAAUAAAAAGGAGGAGGAGGGGCAGCGGCGGCUCCUCCACGCGCUGGUCCCGCCCUCUCGCUCUACACUCACCGGAUGGAGGCGGCCGCACGUGAACUGAGCGGCUCCGUCAGCGGCUCCAAGGACUCCCUGAUGUU